UGUAGCAAAUGUAAGCAAACAAAGGAAUCAUUGAGUUGUUAGGAGAACGACAAAAAAAGCUCGAGGAAUGUCACCUUGUAGAGCAGAGGAAGGAUGAAUGUUGAUGACAUAGGUGGAAGUAGAAACUACCUCAACCCAAAAAUAAGGUAGAAGAGAGGUGACAAUCAUCAACGCACGAGCCACCUCAAGGUGACGAUGCUUGUGCUCAGCAACACCAUUCUGAGCAUGAGCACCAGGACAAGAGAACCGAGGAAGUGUGCCGUGCUCAACAAGGAAUUUGCCCAACAAAUGAGAGAUACACUCAAGGAUUUCGAAGCCGCUGAGUUCCACAUGGAGAACACCUUGCUCCAGCAACCAUGCAUUGCCCAUUGUUGACUAUGUCGGUCCCACUCUGAAGGAAAGCGCGAAUGCAUUUCUCGAUCUUCGCAAGUAACCAUAGAGGUAGUUUUAUGGCGAUGGCUUGAUAAUCUGGGAUGGAGAGCACUAAUUUGAGAAGCCUCUCAUGUUGAGUAGAUUCUCAAUCCAAGUGGGGAGGAAGUCGAGAACUUUGUCUGGAAGAGGCCGUAGGUGGACCAUUUGAAUCUUCUUGCACGACAAGGGGAGGCUGAGGUAGGUGCACAGGAGCAAUGAGAAAGCACAUAUGAAGCUUAACUUGAUCACCUAAAUCUGGACGAUGUUGCAGCAGUUUGGUGCAAAGGAGCACUUGUCAAAGUUGGUUCAUAAGUUUGACACGCCACCAAGAUCAGGUUGCCGCACGUCGAAGACAGGAGGACGACCAUGUCGGCAUCAUACAGUGACAUGAGGUGCGUCGCGCGAUGCCAGCACGAUGGCUCCGACAUGACAACGCUCUUUACAUGGACCAACAAGGCGUUGAGCACCACCAGCACAAAUGAAGAAACAACAAACGACAAAAGGUGGUCAUGUUGCCACAUGCCACGACAGUGAAGAAUAUGCCUUCCGUGCACCUUGUUGAGGAUGACUUUUGAGGAUGUCCAUGGUAGAAUCAUUCAGACCCACUUGGUGAAUCCGCCGCCAAUGUCAGCGUGCCACACGAUCAUAGGAGGAAGGGCCAUGAGACUGAACCGAAUGCCUUCACAGUGUCAACCUUAAGCAUGAAGGAGCUCGUUGCUCCAACUGUAGUUCUGACCAAUGAGGUUGAUCUCACGAAGCUCAAGGUCAUCAAGGAAACGGUGAAAUUUGACCAUCUAUCCUUUUUUAGGUUAGCGUUAAUCUUAUCCCUUGCCUACUAGAUAAAGCAGUCACCGGUAACGACCAAGGAGGUUGACAAUCACCAAGGAGGUGCCUGAGACGAAACAGAGGGCAAUGGUUCGCGUCAGUACAUUAAGGCCCCACACGUUUCAAGAAGACCACGCCGAACGAAGGACAAGAGACGAGAGUCACACAAGUGGCCAAGGCGAUUUGCAAUGCUGAAAAGAGCUGGUAGACAAGGAAACAGAGGUGGAGAGACUUGUGAUGGUGGCAAUGGAGGGAAGGUGAAGCCAGUCAAGCUCCUAGAGGCCCUAAGAGUCAAGGCACCGGGGGCCAGCACCUAGGAGAGCACUAGUGUGACGUUCUGGAACAAAGCAUGAGUCAAAGUCAAGAAUUACCCGACAACCAGAGUCAACAAUUUGACCACCAGAAAUGAGUUGCAUGGUAAAUCGAGGAACAUGAAAAGACGAAAUGCUAAGAAGUCCUUGGCCAUUAACCUGGAGGGAUUACCUGUUAGGAAAUAUGCAACUUGUAUUUCCAGGUGGCCAUAUGCCGUUACACACAAACAUGCAAGUGUGUUACAAUAUGCAAAAAGAAAACAACAUGAUAGAACGGGCAAAAUACAAAGGGGUACAUGGCUAAAUAUAUAACUCUUAACCCCCCCCCCCCUUCCCCCAAACUCAUAAUGGAUCAACACCAAGUUUGGAGAGAUAGAAGUCGUGUUGUGCUCUAGUCUGGGCCUAUCUAAAGAAAUCCGGAAAUCCGCCAACUGUAACUCGGAAGGCACAUAUUGAGGAGCAAUAACCUGAAUCUUGCACAACAACAUGCACAAAGGAAGCAUCAAUAUGCUUGGUGAGCUCAUUCUUCACAGAGUCGCUCACAAUACUAAGAGCACAUGUAAUGUCAGACAAGAGCAGGUGUAGUGACAGAAACACCAAACUUCUAAAGCACUGUAACCAAGUCACCUCUGCCGUCAAAAGAGCCAUAGCUCGCGACUCAGCCUCGACACUCGAACGUGAAACACCAGUCUGUUUCUUUGUCUUAGAGGCAAUGAGAGAACCACCAAAAAAACACAGUAAACAGAAAGUGAACUACAAUCCCAGGGAUCACUAGCCCACGUAGCAUUUGAAUAGGCCUGAAGCUGUAAUGAACUGGAGCAGGGAAAGAAUAGACAGUGAGAGAUCAUGCCACGAAGAUCAUGAAGGAGGUGACUAUAGUGAACCAAUGUGGCCGCAGAGACAAACUGGCGGAAAAUAUGGACAUGAUUGGAGAUACCUGGACUAGUGACAUCUUGAUAGACAAGACUCCCAUCAAGAUGAUGAUAACGUGUCAGAUCAGACACGGUCACCAUCAGUAGCACAAAGGUGAACAUUGCGCUCCAUGGGAGUCCCAAUAGUGCACCCAUCAGUAAGAGUAGCACGAGCAAGAAUAUUCUGGAUAUAUUUGUCUUGGGAAAUACUCCCUGAAAUUUCUCCAACAAGUAUUUCCGGACGGAGGGAGUAAAGCCAUUAGCGGUAGAACAGACCUCUAUCACAAGAAAGUAUGGAAGAUGGCCAAGAUCAGACAUACGAAAAAGAAAUUGCUCACUAAGAAGUGCCUUUUCAAAGGCAAUAUACUCAGGGUCGUCCCAAUUGAUGAUAGGCCCAGACUAGAGCUUGACCAUGAUUAGAAAAAUAUAUCCAAAAGAAGAGGCUGACAACGAUAGACCUGGCCAUGGGCAGCCCGGCCCGGUCGGCCCGACCUGACCCGGCCGGAAAAAGCCCGACUUGGCCCGACCUUGUCCACGGGCGGGCUCGGGCCUAGAUUUCAAGCCCGACGGCCGGGCCUGGGCCCGUCAUAUUUGCGCCUUAACAAAGAGGCCUGGCCCAAGGCCCGGCGGGCUUUUAGCGUCAUGGGCCGGGCUCGGGCCCGAUUUUUAGGCCCGACGGCCGGGCCAGGCCUAGGUUUUUUGCAUCGGGCUUUGGUAGGCCCGGCCCGACAGAUAGCCAGGUAUAGACAACGACGAGAAAAAUAUAUCCACCAGAAGUUGAAGAGACCUUUAUCUGAAGAAAGUAGCGAAGGGGGCCAAGAUUAGACAUAAGAAACUGCUCACUGAGACGUGCCUUCACAAAGGCAAUAUACUUAGGGUCGUCGCCAUUCAUGAUCAUGUCAUCAACAUUCUCACCUAUAAUGAGGCUGGCCAACUCAGCCUCCCAGGGCUCCCCCAGAUUGAAGCUUCGUUGGCCGUUCGAUUGAGUUGCUUUUGGCCAACUGGUUCGUCUCGGAGAUUUGUUAUGCUAGUUUUCACCACGCGGUUAAUUUUCAAUAUCCCUGACCGGUGGGUUCGUUCUUCCUCCCUAAUGGCCGGGUGAGCCCUUCGUGGGUGGGAGCGACCCUAUCCUCACACGCCGCAUGUUGCGCCGCCCGUAUUUGGCGUCUCCGCUGUUGUGUGCAACCCCAUAUGAACCCUACCAAUCACGUAUAUGUCCCUCCUCCAUCCCUCGUGUGCCGACGUCCAUCUCCAUCUUCAAUCCGGCCUCCUCUUGUACCUCCCAAUUUCCUCAUCCUUGCCUCCCCAUUGCUUGCCCUUUGCCCGGAUCCGGCGCAGGUUGUCGUCGUGGAAGACCAGGGCGACAGGGUCUUCACUGUGGGGGUGGAGGAGCAGGAGUGGUCAUUAAGCUAGCGGCGGGGGAUGAAGCAGCGAGGCCCGAGCUCUAGGCGUUGCACACAUCGCGGGGUGGAGGAGAGGCCGGCGUUGGGCGCAAGGAGCAGCAGGUGGGGAAUGGUAGGGCUAUAUCUCCCAUUGUCCAGCACGGGCCACUGAAGAAGAUGAAGGGAAGCCAGGGCUCUAGGCGUUGCACACAUCGCGGGGUGGAGGAGAGGUUGGCGUUGGGCGCAAGGAGCAGCAGGUGGGGAAUGGUAGGGCUAUAUCUCCCAUUGUCCAGCACGGGCCACUGAAGAAGAUGAAGGGAAGCCAGGGCUCCUCAAAUGGCGGCUGCUCCUCUUUGGCUUGGACCAGAAGCCAGGCAGCUGCGUAAGUGCAGAGAAGCGAGCAGAGCAACUGGUGCAGCCGCCUCCUCCCCUCGCUUGCUUCCUCCUGGAGCGUUUGGGUUCAGAUAGAAGAGCUCCAUGCUUACAAACUUUUGGGAUAACCGAGUUUAUCAAUGCCAAAAAAAUAAUCAUCGGGUUUUCAAGUGUAGGCAUCAUGUGAAAGCCCAGCAUAAUUUCUAAGUUGUAUGGCAUCCAUCCCGAUAAUUUGUUCUGCACCAUGCUGCCUCAUGUAGGAUUUUGGUGCUCGUGAUCUACUUUGCUUAGGAGCGCGGCGCUUUGCUGACCAAGAAGAUUGAGAGGGGGAGCCAAUUGCUAGAGAGCGAGAAGGCCCGAACUGCUGCGUUGGAGGCCUCUGUAUCCGAUUGCAUCUCCGAGGAGCAAUAUUACGAGAUGUGUCGUCGUCAUAGCUUGGUUUGGAAGGUGGCCAGCAAUUAUCGGAGCAUCGCCCAGUUGGGUGCUUUGGAGGCCCGUUCAUGCCAGGAAUUAUUGUUGAAAACGCGAGACGCUGGGGAUUCAAACCAAAACAUUGCCUCCGGUCUCCGGGCAAUGGUGCAAAAUGAGAGAGACAGACUGACCUGUGGCGACAAAUCCAGUCCGUCCGGGAUGAGAUUGAAGCUUCAGGGAAGGGUGAGAGCCCUUCGAUUGCCGAGGAGACCGCCCUGCUGAGAGGUCGGUCAACGCAUGUCGGUGGAACUGUCAGACCAAUACGGCCAAAUAGCCAAGCUCCAGGAGGCCGCCCGAGGUAUUUUUCCAUAAAUGUAUAUUGUGCCGGAUCAAGACAGCCUUGGUGUCGUCACUAUUGUUCUUCAACAGAUGUCCUAGGCGCUGACCUGUGUGGCAGGUUCGAUGUGGAUCUCGCAGGAUGCUGAUGUCCACUUGGGUCCAUUGAUCGAACGUGCUGGAUCGCUUGGCCGACCUCCAAGAAGCUGCCGCCAAGGAAGGAGCAUGACCCGUGCUUGCACGCUUGAGGUCGCGCUAUCCUGAGGUCUCAACUCAUGUUGUUGCGACCUCCAUUCCUGACGAAUUUCUUGAUGGUGGCGACUGGAUGUGAGCCUGAAAGAGUAGGAACAUUUGUUGGCCGUGUGUGGCGUUAGGCAAUGUCAACUUUGUUACAAUUUUUAUGUUUCAACUUUUGUAGUUUGAAUUCUUGUUUGAUGCCUGACCAAGCGCACGUGGGAGGGCAUCUCUAUUUCUCGCUUUAAGUGAGCACAGGCGAAGCCUCACGUGUUGAAGAGCCCUAGAUGGGCCGGCCCAGCCGCGCGGGAGGCUACGGCAUGUUUUUUUU